rnacentral:tRNA from 2 species
GCCCAGGUGGCGGAAUUGGUAUACGCGUACGUUUGAGGGGCGUAUGACGCAAGUCAUCCGGGUUCAAGUCCCGGCCUGGGCACCA